rnacentral:rRNA from 1 species
AUGCCACGCCGUGGGAAGCUUGUUGAUGACAGCGAGUGGAGUGAAGUAGAGUUUGCCAACAGUUAUGCCCUGCUCAUCGGGUACCUGUCCAUGGCCGUCAAGGGCCUGGGUUUUCUGGUGCUUACUUGGACCACUGUAGUUCUUCUGGGUGGCUACGUCUCCACAUUGCAGAAGAAGGAUUUUUGGUGUCUUACAUUCAUUACGCUAGUACAGACAGCUGGGAUCUUCGAUGUUCUUCUGACUGAAAAGCUGAGCUAUAUUAUGGAUUCAGUUUUGGCCCUUUUAUAUGUUCGGGUUGCCGUGGUUGGCCACAACGAAUUGCAGAGUAAACGCCAGGUGCUAGCAGAUGUUAUGGCGAUUGUUCAACUGUUAGUAUUUGUCAUUCUACUGUGCCCACUGGCAGCUGUCUACAUGUUUGGGUUGUUAAUCUCCGCGGGGAUUUCUGUGUGGCGUCUGAGGCAACACGAUUACGGGAGUGAUGCUGACGGACUUGGAAACCUGAAGCCGGCGCUGGACGUCUUGUAUUCCAUUGCUCUACUCCAGGGUGUGAUUUUCUGCUACAAACCUUAUUUGGUUUUGCAAAGGGAUCUGUAG